AAAGGACUAGCACAGUGGGGCCAGGAUUUGGUAGCUGGUGCUGAGAGAAAGCCUUGAUAGCAUACUUGCCCUGGUAUGACACCAGUGGCAGCUGUCACUCAGUGGGACAGGC
rnacentral:snoRNA from 1 species